UUGAUUACGUCCCUGCCCUUUGUACACACCGCCCGUCGCUGCCCGGGACUGAGCCGUUUCGAGAAACUUGGGGACCGCUGGAUUGGCAAUUUCGGUUGCUGGUCCGGUGGGAACCAAUUUAAUCGCAGUGGCUUGAACCGGGCAAAAGUCGUAACAAGGUAGCUGUAGGUGAACCUGCUGCUGGAUCAUUACAUGUUACCGUGAUGGUCAUAUUAUUUGAAAAGUACGUGUGUUUGUCUGGUGCACACGUACCAGCCGCCACUGCUUGUCUGGUGCAGUGGAUGGUAACGGCUAACGUUGGCGUCUGCGUGUUGCUGAGCAGUUGUUUCCGUCCGUGGCUGUGAUGAGGCAACAUGUUAGGGCUCAUAUCCAUGUUUCUCGGAUGUGUGGCUUAAGACUUAAUGAGCCCUCUGCUUCAGGGCCGCCAACAAACUUUUUCAAUAAAUUUUUUUAAAAAGAAAAUUCUAGUCUUAUCGGUGGAUCACUCGGCUCGUAGGUCGAUGAAGAACGCAGCUAACUGCGAUAAUUAGUGUGAACUGCAGAAACCUUGAACACCAAAUAUUCGAAUGCACAUUGCGCCAUUGGAAUCUUAUCCUUUGGCACGCCUGAUUCAGGGUCUUAACCAUAUACGCAAGCAUAAUGCGUGUGAUGUUGCGAGUUCAUUCCGUUGUGGUGGUCAACACAACAAUGGAUUGUUCUUGUAUUUGUUAAAUGCGUACAAGGAGUAUUCGUUGGCGAUAGUUAUGGAUCUUUGUUACGUUGUUUCUUCAACAGAUCCAUGCUAAUUGGCCUUUGCUUGUUGGCCUACGCAUAACGAUGCUCAUUGUGCCAGCAUCUUGUUUCUCGAUGCGUUGUUUUAUUUUUCGACCUGAAUUCAGACGUGAUUACCCGCUGAACUUAAGCAUAUCAGUAAGCGGAGGAAAAGAAACUAACAAGGAUUCCCUUAGUAACGGCGAGUGAAA
rnacentral:rRNA from 1 species